rnacentral:rRNA from 1 species
UGCAAGUCGAGCGAAUGGAUUAGAGAGCUUGCUCUCAUGAAGUUAGCGGCGGACGGGUGAGUAACACGUGGGUAACCUGCCCAUAAGACUGGGAUAACUCCGGGAAACCGGGGCUAAUACCGGAUAACAUUUUGAACUGCAUGGUUCGAAAUUGAAAGGCGGCUUCGGCUGUCACUUAUGGAUGGACCCGCGUCGCAUUAGCUAGUUGGUGAGGUAACGGCUCACCAAGGCAACGAUGCGUAGCCGACCUGAGAGGGUGAUCGGCCACACUGGGACUGAGACACGGCCCAGACUCCUACGGGAGGCAGCAGUAGGGAAUCUUCCGCAAUGGACGAAAGUCUGACGGAGCAACGCCGCGUGAGUGAUGAAGGCUUUCGGGUCGUAAAACUCUGUUGUUAGGGAAGAACAAGUGCUAGUUGAAUAAGCUGGCACCUUGACGGUACCUAACCAGAAAGCCACGGCUAACUACGUGCCAGCAGCCGCGGUAAUACGUAGGUGGCAAGCGUUAUCCGGAAUUAUUGGGCGUAAAGCGCGCGCAGGUGGUUUCUUAAGUCUGAUGUGAAAGCCCACGGCUCAACCCGUGGAGGGUCAUUGGAAACUGGGGAGACUUGAGUGCAGAAGAAGGAAAGUGGAAUUCCAUGGUGUAGCGG